UAGAAGUAAAAGAAUGUUGAAAAUAAUAUAGGGUGUGCUGAAAGAGAGUUGAGAGAGGAAACAAAGAAGAAAAGGGAACAGGUUCACAGGCCUCCUGAAUUUUAUUCAAAUACUCUCAGGGAGGAAAUCUUGCAAUGUGAUGGAUCGAGAGAGUGGUGAUGGAAACCCCACAGCAGCUCUGAAUUCUGAUCCUGCUUGGCUGCUUACUGGUUGCCCAAUGUGUUUUAUUGAACAUUGGACUCCAUCGGAUUAUGUUCUGUCUUUACUAUCCAUGGUCUGACAAUUGAUGCUAUCUUCAGAAAAAGAAUAAUUAUUUAGAAACAGAAAAUAAAUGUUGUUUUGACUUGCGAAUUUCCUUUCUCUAACAAAGAAAGGAUUCUCUGAACAAUAACCCUAAUAUUCACAUACCAGGAAUAAUGCAUUUAGGAAAAAAAAACCAGUUCAUUUAAAGUGAAUAUUUAAGAUGCUGAUAUAUUUUGGAGAAAAUAAGAACAUGAGGAUGAUUAAAAUAGAGUUUAGGAUCAAUUAGUAGAAUGUACAACUUGCCUAAGGGUUACUGCCAAAGGAAAAUAACUUUUAAAUUAAAAUUGAAUGUGGCAAUAAUUAACAUUAGUAACUAAAAAUGAGAACAUAUUUAAGAAAGUAAUCAAAUAGAGACCCAAAAGUCCAUGCCUGUUUAUUAUGUACUUUCAUUUUUCUGGUCUCGUUCAAUAUCUUUAGAGUACCAACGGAAUAUUCAUUUGUUUUUGGUAGUUUCCAUAUUUCUUAAUUCCUGAUUAUUCUCAAUUAGUGAACACAUUUAUACUAAGAACUUCUAUAUGUGAAAGUCAUUAAGUAAGUAUCAGAAGAGACAUUAAAAAGCAAAAGAAAGUCUCUGAUCUCAAGGACCUUAAUGUCUAGACUUAGAGAAGAUGUAAAAAUAUGUGAAAAGCUAAAAAAAAUGUACAAAGGAACAAAAAUCUAGAAAAAGGUGAGUUGAUACAAGAUAAUGUGAUUAGUUGUCUUUAUCACAAUGAGUGGUGACGGCAAUAGGUUCUAGAAAAGUUCAGAGGACAACACAUGCACUUAGGCUAAAGUGGCUUGGGAAAGUCUCAGGGUAGGCAGGAUUGAAGCUAUUUUUGAAGGAUAAGUACAAUUUGGGCUCUCUCAAACAUUUUUAAUCUAUUUAAAUAAUUACCUAUUCUGGUUUUCUUAUUAAUGUCCUAACAGUCGCUCAAAGUUUCAAGAGAGCAGAGAAGGAUCAAGGGGUUGGAGAAUGGGAGCUGUAGGUCUCAUAACCUCCAGUUUCUGACUAAACUUACUAAACAUCUGUUAGGAAUUUUGUAGUAUUAGUCCCACACCUCCUUUUUCCACCCUCUCAGAAUUGUCCUGGGAAUUACCAUCUAUAAAGCAUAGUUUUAUUUGUCAAUUUCCAUAAAAAAUGUUUAGGGAAAUGGUUGAAAUUUACUCAUGCCUCAGUCCUCCUGAUUGGAAAAUGGUCAGCUAUCCUAGUCCACAGGAAUGUUGGUUCACAAAGAGAGCUGGAUACUGUAAAAUGUGUAUAAUGGACUACACAUGCUCAUUUGUUAUUUUCAUCAUUGCUGACAGUACACAGCUUGCUACUGCUCUUGCAUUUUUCAUCCAUUCAUUUUGAGAUGCCUAAGCCAGAUGCAAAUCGUUCCCUUCUUCUCUUCCCUGGGCUCCAGAUGCUGUUUACAAGACAGAAAAAUGUGUGGUAGGCUCUUUAUAACAAGACAGCACUUGCAUUUGAAUAGUUACAUUAUGAAAACUCAAGCUUUUCAUGUAUCGCUUAUCAGUUGUUUACUAGGCUAUGAACCCUUGGAGGUGAAAACGCCUCUGUUUGGGAAAAGCUGGCAUGGACCUAUUCAUUAUUGCUUUAUGCUAAGAACAAAUUAAAAUGCCAGCUAUCUCUGGACUGAACCCUGGAAAAUGUACACUUUUUGCUCCUGUACGUCUCUUCCUUGGCAUCUGAAAAUAAAACCAGUUAGUUGAAACAGUGCUUGUUAUGGUAAAUUAAACUUCUUGAGAGCUUUGAGAAUUGAGCUUUAAGUUGUAUUUGAAAUUCAGAGUGGAUUACGUAGUUCUUUAAAUAACUCAAAAUUAUACCAGGUCAGCCCACUUUGUGAGAGCACUCUCAGGCAUAAGUGUGAUUUCAAAUUCCCCAUAAAGUGUAAAUGAGGAUCUGAUUUCACAUAAAUGACACAUUUGCCUCAAUAGAAAAAUUAAUUUUAUGUCCUAUAAGAAGCUGAUUAAUGAUGCUGUCACCUUAUAUUCUAGCAAAAUUCAACAUUGCAUAAAAUAAUAUUUAAUUGAACAUCUUAGUUUUCAUGAGACUUUUCAUGAAAUUAGCUGACAUGAGAUACUAGUGUGUCAUUGUCUUAUAGGUUACCUUCAUUGUAAUAUAAGGAGAACAUUGUAGAGUGCACUUUAAUUAAAACAAUUGAUGUUGAUAUUUUUAUAAUCAUUAAAAUAGAUGAAAAAGAAAAAUCUACAAAUUGUGUGUGUGUGUAUAUUCUGACAACCAAUGAAGAAUUAAUUGCUCUGAUGUAAAUAAUUUUAAUAAUAAAAAUUGUUGUGUUAGGCCAUAAUUUAAGAAGUUUUUGCUCUGAAUCCAAUAAUGAAGAAAAUAUUUUGUGACUUAAUGAAAG
rnacentral:lncRNA from 1 species